rnacentral:lncRNA from 1 species
AUUUUUUUCUAUCCCCACGUGAAGUUGUUAUUUAUUUUUAAAAAGUUGGAUUACUCUUUUGUUUCCAUGUAUCAAAUUUUCCAUAUCAGCCUUUACUCAUGCCCACCACUUCUUUUCAUAGUGCCGGUGGGGCUGCUGGCUUAGGUGCUGGUGCGGCUGCGGGCUUAGGUGCUGGUGCGGCUGCUGGCGCGGCUGCAGCACCUGGUAUUAUCUUUUUCAAGACUUUUGACAGGACUGCUGGCGGCUCCUUGCCCGUUGCUUGCCUACACAAAAUUGAAUACGUCUGGUAUCAAAAGAUCUUAAUACUUACGGUUCAAAACAUGUUCACUACCAACCAACCUAAUAGUUUGUACGUAUAGAAACAUAUUCAACCAUGCAGCUACACAAAUAGAUACAUUCUUAAUACUGCCCAUGGUAAAUGCGCUAGAGUAACGAGUGGAUGAAAUGUAAUUUGCUUUUUUCAUAAUUUUAGAAAAGGUGGGAUUCAAUUAAGGGGAAUAUCGAUUAUUUUUUCAAUAUUUAUUCCUCUACGUAUACCCUUAAUUUGCGUAUCUAUAGGAUGCAGUCGAGAUCAUCAACUUAUGCGUUAGUUAAUCCCUCGCUCUGCCACCUAAUAUCUAUAUUAAAAUUUGUAUAAAUAUAAUAAAAUUUUCCAUUCAAAGAAUUUUCUAAAAUAUAUGUACGCGUAUACAAUAAUUUAUUAUGUUAGUGUUAAAUACUUG